AGCAUGUAGAGCACACUCCAGGCCUGAAGGGGCAACAGUGAGAGCUGAGGGCUGAACAUCUCCACCUGCUUUGAUUGAAUUCACCUGUUCACCUGCUCAGAGCACAUGCUUCAACAUGUUUGAGCGUCACUCCUUUUGACAUGCUGCUAAGAGGAAGGAAGACAGCUCCUGUGUGGACUCAGAAGACGCAACUGGAUUACCUGCUAGUCCAGGAGCCAAAGGUGGACCUGGAGUUAAAGACGAGCCUGGUCCCAGAGGUCAUGCCGGCAUGUCCGGUGACCCUUGACCUUUGGGAAGCAAAGGAGAGAGAGGAGCGAUGGGCGUUCCAGGUGCUCAAGGUCUGAGUGGAACCAAAGGAGACAAGGUGUCCCCCAGGGUUGGGUGCUUGGUCCACUUCUCUUCAUUGUACAUGCUCCCCCUCGGUAACAUCAUCCGCCGCCAUCACCUCCAAUUCCACUGCUACGCAGAUGAUGUCCAGCUACAUCUCCACAAAAUCUCUCCACCCUGACCGACUGCCUCACUGAAAUCAAAUCAUGGCUGCACUCCAACUUCCUCAAACUCAACUGACAAAUCUGACAUGCUCAUCGUGGGCCCCAAAUCCCUCACCAAAACUGCUCACAACUCUACUCUGUCCCCAUCCACUCACAUCCGCAACCUCGGAGUCAUUCUGGACAAUAAGCUCUCUUUUCAACACCGGGUCAACCACAUCACAAGAACUGCUUUCUUCCACCUCCAAAAUAUUGCCCGUCUCCGUCCAUCCUUCUCUGCCGCUGAAACCCUGAUCCAUGCCUUCAUCACCUCCACACUUGACUACUGUAACGGCAUCCUCUACGACUCUUCUUGCAAAAUUCUCAAACUCCAAUACAUUCAAAACUCUGCCGCCCGCCUGCUCAGCCACACCCGCUCCCGUGAGCACAUCACCCCAGUCCUCCAGAAACUCCACUGGCUCCCCAGUCCUCACCGGAUCCACUUUAAAUCCUCCUCCUCACCCACAAAGGCCUCCACAAGCAGGCCCCCUGCUACCUCACCAACCUGCUUCACCUCCAUACCUUCACGCAGCCUCCGCUCCUCUGAUGCCAACCUGCUCUCCCCACCAUGCAGAACCAAGCUUCGGACCUGGGGUGACAGCUUUCUCCAUCGCUGCUCCCACCCUCUGGA